UUGCCAUGAUGACUGCUUAGGACACCUUUGGAUUCUCCAUGAAAACAAACUGUUAGAUUCUGAGCAAC